GAUGAACGCUGACGGAAUGCUUAACACAUCAGCAAUUGAUUGGUGGCGGACGGGUGAGUAACGCGUAAAGAACUUGCCUCACCGGUAGGGACAACAUUGGGAAACGAAUGCUAAUACCUAAUACUGUGAGAGAGCUUUGCGUCCCAGUAGCUAGUUGGAGAGGUAACGGCGCACCAAGGCGAUGAUGGGUAGCCGGCCUGAGAGGGUGAUCGGCUACAAGGGCCCGUGGACAACGCCCUUACUCUGUCGGGCGUAAGGAGUGGGGGAUGUUGGACAAUGGACCACAGUCUGAUGCAGCAAUUCUGUGUGCACGAUGAAUUUUUCGUGAUGAAAAUUGCUUUCUGUUUGGAAUCGGUACCAACAGAAGAAGCGACGGCUAAAUACGUGCCAGCCGCCGCGGUAAUAC
rnacentral:rRNA from 1 species